rnacentral:tRNA from 1 species
GCUCGACGUCGGCGGCGUGCGUGCGGGCCGCGGGCCCGCGGUCGACGAGGCCGAGGAGAUCGCCCGGGUCGUGCCCGUCGUCGAGCGC